rnacentral:rRNA from 1 species
UACAGAGGUCUCAAGCGUUGUUCGGAUUCAUUGGGCGUAAAGGGUGCGUAGGCGGUUUGGUAAGUCUUAUGUGAAAUCUACAGGCUCAACUUGUAGUCUGCAUGAGAAACUGCCGGGCUAAGUGUGGGAGAGGUGAGUGGAAUUCCUGGUGUAGCGGUGAAAUGCGUAGAUAUCAGGAGGAACACCUGUGGCGAAAGCGGCUCACUGGACCAUAACUGACGCUGAUGCACGAAAGCUAGGGGAGCAAACAGG